AUUGGUGUGGGAGGGGACUGUAGAGAGGAGGGUGCCUAACCUCUGUUCUGCUCACCCUUCUCACAG
ensembl:miRNA Mir6922 microRNA 6922